UACGGAGGAUCCAAGCGUUAUCCGGAAUUACUGGGCGUAAAGAGUUGCGUAGGUGGCAUUGUAAGUUAGUAGUGAAAGCGUGGGGCUCAACCCCAUACCCAUUAUUAAAACUGCAAAGCUAGAGGACGAGAGAGGUCGCUGGAAUUACUAGUGUAGGAGUGAAAUCCGUAGAUAUUAGUAGGAACACCGAUGGCGUAGGCAGGCGACUGGCUCGCUCCUGACACUAAGGCACGAAAGCGUGGGUAGCAAACGGG
rnacentral:misc_RNA from 1 species